GGGGGAGUGGUCUCAAUGGUUAAGAUACUACGCAACUCUCGCCUGUAGAGCGCCUAAGUGCGAACAGUGUGUGUAGGCCUAAGUGCCGAUCGGAGGCCUAAGUGCCAUCGCGUUAGUGAUACUGGUUCGAAUCCGGUCUCUUCCA